AGUCAUGUUGCUCAGUCGGUAGAGUAUGGCACUGGAAACGCCAAGGAUUGUGGGUUGGAUUCCCGCUUGGACUC
rnacentral:tRNA from 1 species